GGCUGGCACCUCUCGUGCCCACCCCGCAGCUGGGAAAACAGCCCUGGAGCUGUGCACUGGAGCGGCGCCUCUGGGCCAGUGAAGAGGACGCCUGCCCUGCAGGGGAGCGGCGUCGAGCCUUGCCUGUGGGCAGCCCCACGCCACUGGACCGCCGCUGCCUCUCUCCGGGACCUCGUGCCUUUCGUUGGAAAUGCUUCCUAAAGAAGGUCUCCAUGCCAGGGGCUGUUGGGCAUACAGACUGGGAGUGUCAGGAGCUGGGCCAAGCUGAAGCACAGCUGUGUCCCAUAAGCAAAGAAGGGACACAUAGGUGUUAGGGAUGAGGACCCUCUGUCCUCUGUGAAAAGAGCUUGAAGGUACCAGGAAGAGCAGGGGAACCCAAGCUUGGUUACUGGAGUAUAAACACUGCUCCCUGCAAGCAUUCCCUAAAUUCUACCCCAGGAGUUCUUAGGAGAUGGGGCCUCACCUGCCCAGGCACCAGAAACAACAGAGAUCUGAGCCUAAAGGACUUCAACUGCCUUGCCAGAAAUGGAAGCAAAAGGUAACCUGGGACCCAGACUCUGCCUGGGUAGACUACAAGGGCUCUGGGGCCUGUCCCUCUCAUCUGGUCUUCCUUUUGCCCACACAUGGAACAGGUUGGGUUCCUCUCCUGGGAUACAGUGCAAUUAAGCAAAAAUACUAAACGUGGGUUCUCUGCGAAGGCUCUGAGUCCUGAUAAAAUCCCUAUAUUCAGCCCAAACCUUGGGUUUAGUUACUGGGAGACUGGGCUUCUGAGAAUUGGAAAAGCACGGCCUGCCCCAAGAGUGUUAUUGUCUUGGUGUGGGGGAUACAGCAAGAGGUUCUGGCUAAGAGAACGCUGAUGCUAGAUGCCAUGUGCACACAUCUCUAAGAACUUUCUGGUAAUGAAUGACUCUGUCUCACUGUUCCAAAGACUGCAAUAUGGGGAUCCCAAGGUGUGAGGUCCCCAAACCCCUUAAGCCUUCCUACGGAGGGAUUCAGCGCAACAUACUGUCCUCAGGCUCACACGUCUAUGCAGAGAGCAGGGGCCUGGGCUCUUCCCUGGGUGUGUACCAGGCCAUGCACGCUAUCCAGACACCUAUUUCUUUACUCCCUGGUCUAUCUUUCCUCCUUCCCAGGCCCCGGGGACCAACUCCUGUGCUCACACCUCUUCUACACUUGAGGAAUGGCAGGAAGCCCCCAAUCAGCUGAGGGAGAUGGCUCCAAAGAGCAGCCAUGGAAGCCCAAGUCACAUCCACGAGUGCUACUGGAUGACACAAUUUCUGCCUGCCGAGGGUCUGGCUGAAGUCCAGAGCAGUGGUGGAGAGGAAGGGCUGCCUGGGAGCACAGCCUGGGAAGACAGGCCCACCUGAUCUAUGCAGCACCUGCUCUCUGCCCUCUGUCUAUCCUCGAUAUAGGUCUCAGCAGGCAGCGGUAGAGCCAGUAUAGGGUGUGGCAGAGAAAAGAAGUGGGCCCAGGGGACAGAGCUCCUGCAAUCAGUGAGCAAGGGGUGGGAGGGUGGGGGGACUGCGCAAGCAAAGCAGCAUUGAGACUGGACAGGAGGUGAGUUCCAGAAACAUAAGAGCCGACACUGGCAAGAGGGCUGGUUUCAUCCAGCUAACAGUUAAUGGGUCCACUACAUAUACACAGAGGGGGUGGGGGAAAGAUAGUUAGAUAGGUGUACACACACACACACACACACACACACACACACACAGAGAGAGAGAGAGAGAGAGAAGCAUGCACCAGAUGAAGAAGCAAGCUAAGGCACCAAGGGUAGCACACACAAAGCCCACAGGCAGCGAGUAUGGAGCAGAUGGUAGACCCUGGGAUGGAGGUGAGACGGGCUAGAGAAAGGCCCACACUAGUCACAGCCAUCUAGUGCUACUCUGUGCCAGACCAUGGGUGAGCCCUCCACCACCUCACUGAUCCUACCAGAGCCUCUGAGGGAGGCACGGUAGGUGGUUCUCUGUGACUUUGAGGCUAACCUGGUUGACAAAGCAAGUUCCAAGACAGCCAGGGCUACAUAGUGAGACCC
rnacentral:lncRNA from 1 species